CUCCCUUGAAGUGGCGCGCGCCGGGAGCCCCGGCUCAUUUAAGCAGCGAGCGCAGCGCCGCGUGCCGGCCGCGGGGCCACUGCGCACGCGCAGCCCCGCCCUCCCGCGUGCCCCGCCCGCCACUCGCUUCCCGGGCCUCGCGCGCGGCCCACCCCUCCCUGCCGGUGUCUUCUCGAAGCCUUGAGCUCCCCAGGUCCGAUUUUUCCAUCCCCUCUCGGAGGACCUCAAGCUCAGGUGCUUGAAAACGUCUGCUCAGCCUUGCUGAUCUCGGUGGAAGGGAGACCCCCGCGGGGGCCCUGGAGGUGCCCGGGUGAGUUCCCCCGGCCAGCAGUAAGGGUUGUUGCACCUACUGAACCUUCUCCAACAGUUGCCAGGCACAGCGCUGCUUGAGGAAUCCUCACUCCCAGUCCUCGCCACAGUGGGCUGAAAGCUCCACGCCAGCCAGAAAAGUGAAACUUUGUUCUAGCUGCAGAGACAGGCGCGACUGAAUGCAGACUGGGUCUCCCCAAGGCCACCCCUAACCACAGCCGUACAGACGGACCGCUGAGCGCCACCGGAAAGGAAUUAUAUGUGCCUUGGAUAGUUUGUGCAUGAUCUCGUCUUCCUCCAGCUCUUGUGCAUUGAAAUUGUCUUGCUGGCAGAGCUGCUUCAUCCUACUGAAAUAGAAAUGACUUGAAUGCAGGCGGGCUACAGUCAUUUAUUGGUUUGAGUUAUGUGCAUAUAACAAUGACUGGUAUUGGGGGGCCUACCAAUAUUAAGUCCCUACCGUAAUUGAUCUGAUAUAUAAAUGUUUAUCUAGCAAAUUAUGGCUAAUUAGAACGUCCAGCAACUGAACAAAAUAUUCCAAGGGUGUCACAUUCUUUCUUUUCUUGGAUCGCUCUAAGAAAGUCACAGAAGUAUAAGCAAUUAACAAGUUUAUAAAUAAAACCAAUUAACACCUAUUAGCAUAAAGUUGUUUAGCCCUUUGCUGUGUGCUUCAGUGGUUAUGAAAGAUGUGUGAUUUGGGGCUUAUAAGGUGAUCACCUGCAGUUAAAUUAAAAUUGCACCCAGGAACCAGUGAAUAAGGCAUUUUAGAACCUUUUCCACAAAUAAAAUAAUGAUAAAUGGGGACAGCAGUUAAUAAUUCAGUUUAAGUCCUGGGCAAGAGUGGAUAAAGAAACUGGGAAGCCCUUUGAGUUUCUGGAUCAACAAUGCAUAGUUGUUGAUGGAGGAAAAGAAAAAAAACCCAAAAAACAAAAAACAGCCUGUAUGAUGUCAUCAGAGAACGCUCCAUGAAAAAGGGGAGAAAGAAGAUGGAAAAUGUUUGGAUGGCAAGUGAAGAGGAGGGGUGUAGUCAUGAUUGUCAAGUGUCAGGUAAGAUGCAAGUGUGAGCAGGGAAUUUGGGACAAGUGUCAUCAGAAACUAAAGAUUAAAGAGAAUGUGGACUUUGAAUGUGGAGAUGCACUCAUCUCUCCAUUGGUUUUAGGAUGUCUGUCUCUUAAUCCUCCUGACACAUGUCAAGGUCUUCAUAGGUGUAUUAGUCAGGGUUCUCUAGAGUCACAGAACGUAUGGAUAGUCUCUAGAUAAUAAAGGAAUUUAUUGAUGACUUACAGUCGGCAGCUCAAUUCCCAACAAUUGUUCAGUCGCAGCUGUGAAUGGAAGUCCAAGGAUCUAGCAGUUACUCAGUCUCACGUAGCAAGCAGGCGAAGGAGCAGGAGCAAGAGCAAGACUCCCUUCUUCCAAUGUCCUUAUAUUGUCUCCAGCAGAAGGUGUAGCCCAGAUUAAAGGUGUGUUCCGCCACACCUUUAAUCCCAGAUGAAAGGCGUAGCCCAGAUUAAAGGUGUGUUCCUUAAACACGGAGAUUCAAUCUUCUGGAAUCCAUAGCCACUAUGGCUCAAGAUCUUCAAACCAAGAUCCAGAUAAGGAUCUCCAAGCCUCCAGAUAAGGGUCACUGGUGAGCCUUCCAAUUCCGGAUAGUAGUUCAUUCCAAAUAUUGUCAAGUUGACAACCAGAAAUA
rnacentral:lncRNA from 1 species